rnacentral:snoRNA from 2 species
UGGCAGUGAUGACUCUCUUAGGACACCUUUGGAUUAAGCAAUGAAAAUAAUUACUACCUGAGCCAU